rnacentral:rRNA from 1 species
UGGGGAAUCUUAGACAAUGGGCGCAAGCCUGAUCUAGCCAUGCCGCGUGAGCGAUGAAGGCCUUAGGGUUGUAAAGCUCUUUCAGUGGGGAAGAUAAUGACUGUACCCACAGAAGAAGCCCCGGCUAACUCCGUGCCAGCAGCCGCGGUAAUACGGAGGGGGCUAGCGUUGUUCGGAAUUACUGGGCGUAAAGCGCACGUAGGCGGACCAGAAAGUAGGGGGUGAAAUCCCGGGGCUCAACCUCGGAACUGCCUUCUAAACUCCUGGUCUUGAGGUCGAGAGAGGUGAGUGGAAUUCCGAGUGUAGAGGUGAAAUUCGUAGAUAUUCGGAGGAACACCAGUGGCGAAGGCGGCUCACUGGCUCGAUACUGACGCUGAGGUGCGAAAGCGUGGGGAGCAAACA